rnacentral:rRNA from 1 species
AUGACUCUCGGCAACGGAUAUCUCGGCUCUCGCAUCGAUGAAGAACGUAGCGAAAUGCGAUACCUGGUGUGAAUUGCAGAAUCCCGCGAACCAUCGAGUCUUUGAACGUAAGUUGCGCCCGAGGCCAUUCGGCCGAGGGCACGCCUGCCUGGGCGUCACGC